UACGUAGGGGGCAAGCGUUGUCCGGAUUUACUGGGCGUAAAGGGCUCGUAGGCGGCCAACUAAGUCAGACGUGAAAUCCCUCGGCUUAACCGGGGAACUGCGUCUGAUACUGGAUGGCUUGAGGUUGGGAGAGGGAUGCGGAAUUCCAGGUGUAGCGGUGAAAUGCGUAGAUAUCUGGAGGAACACCGGUGGCGAAGGUGGCAUCCUGGACCAAUUCUGACGCUGAGGAGCGAAAGCCAGGGGAGCAAACGGG
rnacentral:rRNA from 1 species